CUGACGAGUGGCGGACGGGUGAGUAAUGUCUGGGAAACUGCCUGAUGGAGGGGGAUAACUACUGGAAACGGUGGCUAAUACCGCAUAACGUCGCAAGACCAAAGAGGGGGACCUUCGGGCCUCUUGCCAUCAGAUGUGCCCAGAUGGGAUUAGCUUGUUGGUGAGGUAACGGCUCACCAAGGCGACGAUCCCUAGCUGGUCUGAGAGGAUGACCAGCCACACUGGAACUGAGACACGGUCCAGACUCCUACGGGAGGCAGCAGUGGGGAAUAUUGCACAAUGGGCGCAAGCCUGAUGCAGCCAUGCCGCGUGUAUGAAGAAGGCCUUCGGGUUGUAAAGUACUUUCAGCGGGGAGGAAGGUGUUGUGGUUAAUAACCGCAGCAAUUGACGUUACCCGCAGAAGAAGCACCGGCUA
rnacentral:rRNA from 1 species